GGUUCCAUGGUGUAAUGCUUAGCACGCUGGACUUUGAAUCUAGUGAUCCGAAUUCAAAACUCGAAGGAACCU
rnacentral:tRNA from 1 species